rnacentral:rRNA from 1 species
UGAAUACGAGACGCUAAGGCGUCGAAGUAGUGUAUGUCAUACUUCCAAGAAAAGCUUGCACUGUCAUAGAUAAAAAACGCCUGUACCAUAACCGACACAGGUGGGUAGGUAGAGUAUACUAAGGGGCGCGAGAUAACUCUCUCUAAGGAACUCGGCAAAAUAACUCCGUAACUUCGGGAGAAGGAGUGCCUUAUUCUUAAGGUUGCAAUAACAAGAUCCAAGCAACUGUUUAUCAAAAACACAGGUCUCCGCUAAGUCGUAAGACGAUGUAUGGGGCUGACGCCUGCCCAGUGCCAGAAGGUUAAAGAAGCUGGUUAGCAUUUGCGAAGCUAGUAACUGAAGCCCUGGUGAACGGCGGCCGUAACAAUAACGGUCCUAAGGUAGCGAAAUUCCUUGUCGGGUAAGUUCCGACCCGCACGAAAGGCGUAAUGAUUUGGAUACUGUCUCGGAGAGGGGCUCGGUGAAAUAGACUUGUCUGUGAAGAUGCGGACUACCUGCACCAGGACAGAAAGACCCUAUGAAGCUUUACUGUAACUUGAAAUUGAAAUUGGACUUUAUUCGCGCAGUAUAGGUGGGAGGCGUUGAUUAUAAUCUUGCGGGAUUAUUGGAGCCAUUAGUGAGAUACCACUCUUGUAAUGUUGGAUUUCUAACUUUGAAUCAUUAUCUGGUCAAAGAACAGUUUCAGGCGGGCAGUUUGACUGGGGCGGUCGCCUCCUAAACGGUAACGGAGGCGUACAAAGGUUUCCUCUGAACGGUUAGAAAUCGUAUCUAGAGUGUAAAGGCAUAAGGAAGCUUGACUGUGAGACCUACAAGUCGAGCAGGGACGAAAGUCGGUCUUAGUGAUCUGACGGUACUGAGUGGAAAGGCCGUCACUCAACGGAUAAAAGUUACUCUAGGAUAACAGGCUGAUCUCCCCCAAGAGUUCACAUCGACGGGGAGGUUUGGCACCUCGAUGUCGGCUCAUCGCAUCCUGGGGCGGUAGUACGUCCCAAGGGUUGGGCUGUUCGCCCAUGAAAGCGGUACGCGAGCUGGGUUCAGAACGUCGUGAGACAGUUCGGUCCAUAUCCGGUGUAGGCGUUAGAAUAUUGAGAGGAGCCUUCUUUAGUACGAGAGGACCGAGAAGGACAUACCUCUGGUGUACCAGUUAUCGUGCCAACGGUAAACGCUGGGUAGCUAUGUAUGGAGUGGAUAACCGCUGAAAGCAUCUAAGUGGGAAGCCCACCUCAAGAUAAGUAUUCUCAUC